rnacentral:lncRNA from 10 species
UUUAAAAUGACUUGCUGUUCAAAUUCUUCAGUGUCUCUUUCCUUUGCUUUCCUCUAAGCACCAGGCUUGUGCGUGAGAGGCUAUAACUUGUCUUCUUUCCUUCAUGUAGGUUGGUGAUACAGACUUGCUGGUCCUCGUGAACGUGCUGGUGAUUUGGACUCCAAGGGCAAUCUGUCUGUCAGUUUUGACAGUAUUGUCUAGUCUCAGUGAGAGAUGGAAGGAAGACCACUGAGAUUUCUCUGAGUCUGAAAAUAGAUACUCUUCUUAGCAUUCAAAUUUGCUUUGAAGGAGCAUUCUUCACAUGCCCAUGGUCAGGAACAGUUUAAGUAGUGUUAGGAUCCAAAAAGUUGAUUGGAUUUCCCCGCCUCUCUUCACAGUCUAUAUUUAGGCCCCAGCCUAUCAAAAAUAUUUAAGAGGAGUAUUUGGCAUAUUUCUGAAAUGUUAUUUUUGAAAUAUUAUGCUGAGCAUUUAAGCAAAUGAACGACACAGGGACAGCUUUGGGCAAUGCUAUGAGUGGGUCUCCAGCACCCCUUUCUCUUCAUUAGUGUUCUCAAGCUGAUCUCUGGUUGCUUAGAGCUCUUCACAGAGGACUUCAUCAGGACUGGCCUUCAAAAUCCCUGCUGCUAAGCCUUUCCUUUCCCAGAUCCCAUAUCAGAUUGUCAUGUUCCUAGAGGACUGAACAUAGUCAGUGGUCUAAUAAAUAAUAAUGAUAGAUAUGGUUUAUUGAGUGCCUGGCAUGGUGCUUUUCAUACAUUAUCUCAUUUUAUUCUCACAACAGUUUUGGAAGUAUUACUAUCCCUCUUUACAAAUGAGGAGAGACUGAAACACCAAGACUGUCAUUAAGUUGGAUAAACGUCAUGCAGCUUGUAAGUGCCAGAGAUAGAAUAGGACCACAGGUCUCUCUCAUAAUGUACACGCCUGCUAAUAAUACUUUCAAUCCCUUAAUUCUGAGGAAUGAUUUCCAAUGGGCAUUUCAGGAAUUAAGGCAAGCUCUCAGAGGCUCUAUCGUUGAUAAGGGCUUUAUUUCAGUGGGGCCUUAUUCUCUUAAACCUGCUUUUGAAGGAAGUAAGCUCUUUGCAAAGCUCUUGUUAGCAGAAAAAAACCACAUGUCUUAAUUCAAAAUGUUAUUUGAAAUCUCACAAUCUGUAUUUUUAAAAAUAAUGGAAGGCAGGUGAACUGUUUGUCUUCAAAAGGUUUAUUUUACACACCAACUCUUUACUGCCUCUCAAUAAACGUUACUUAAUUACAAUGUGUUAAAAAGAAUGAAGCAGAAGUAUGGUCUGUAAAAAUAUUUGUUAUCUUUUGCUUUUUUCGUUUCCUGAUUCUGAGGAACUCUGAGCGGUUGUUUGUCAAACUGCUUUGUACCUGCCUGAGCACAAAGGCCCUUUUGCUGGGCUGGGCCCCAUGCAGAAUGGUGAAGUGGCUGAAGUUUGAAAAGCAGCACACUCCUCUCAGUGCUCCCAGCUUCCUCCUCUCCACUCAUUUCCCUGCCUCUUUUAUAUUUUGUUCAAAAUAAAAUAAAAUGCAAAG